UUUCCGUAGGUGAACCUGCGGAAGGAUCAUUAUUGUAUAACCGAGGUGCGAGGGCCGUCGCUGACCCGAAAGGUCGUGCACGCCCGAGUGCCCUCACACGCAUCCAUCUCACCCCUAUGUGCACCACCGCGUGGGUCCCCCUUUGGCUUGUUCGGAGGGGGGCUUACGUUUUCACACAAACUUUGUAUGCAGUGUAGAAUGUAUUUUUUGUUUUUGCGAUCACGCAAUCAAUACAACUUUCAACAACGGAUCUCUUGGCUCUC
rnacentral:misc_RNA from 1 species